UUUCCGUAGGUGAACCUGCGGAAGGAUCAUUAAAAAAUUGGACUCCAUUGGUGAGUUCAUUAAUAAUCCCUACCCUUUGUGAAUUUGUUUGUUUGAAUAAUUUUUUUUCCAAAAAAAAUUAUUGAAUGUCUUUCCUUGUUUUGGUGGAGCUUGUAAAGUGAAACCAGGCAGGGGAAUGGCAAACAAUAAUUAUUUUUGAAAAAGACCUUUUUUUAAAAUUAAACUUUUUGUAUUCAUUUGUCUAAAAUUAAUUUUUAUAAUAUAAAAACAACUUUUGACAAUGGAUCUCUUGGUUCUCGCAACGAUGAAGAACGCAGCAAAAUGCGAUAAGUAGUGUGAAUUGCAGAAUACGUGAAUCAUCGAAUCUUCGAACGCAUAUUGCACUUUUUUAGUUUACUAAAAAAGUAUGUCUGUUUGAGUAUCAGUAAAAUAUUCUCAUAAAAAACAUUGUUUUUUUUAUGGUUAUGAGUGUUUUACAACGAUAACAAGUUGUUUCACUUUAAAUUCUUUGUUAUCAAAAAAAUCAUUAAAAGCUAAUUUUAAAGAUUUUUUAAAAUUGGAUAAAAUUUUCCCGUAAAAAGGAAUAACCUAAACAAUUUUAAAAAAUUAAAAUUGGUUUGAUUUUUUUGAAACCCAAAGGAAAAAAAAACGAAAUUAACUUGAUCUCGAAUCAGAUAAGAGUACCCGCUGAACUUAAGCAUAUCAAUAAGCGGAGGAAAAGAAACUAACUAGGAUUCCCUCAGUAACGGCGAGUGAAGCGGGAAGAGCUCAAAUUUGAAAUCUUCAAGGUUUUACCUUGACGAAUUGUAGUUUAAAGAAGUGUUUUCUGUUGAGUUUUGGUAAAAGUUCUUUGGAAAGGACAUCAUAGAGGGUGAGAAUCCCGUAUUUGACCAUUAUCUCCAGCUUGUGAUACACUUUCAAAGAGUCGGAUUGUUUGGGAAUGCAGUCCAAAAUGGGUGGUAAAUUUCAUCUAAAGCUAAAUACUGGCGAGAGACCGAUAGCGAACAAGUACCGUGAGGGAAAGAUGAAAAGAACUUUGAAAAGAGAGUUAAACAGUACGUGAAAUUGUCAAAAGGGAAGCGUUUGACACCAGUGUUGUUUCUCGAAAAUCAAUUAAAAAAGUCGGAUUUUGUGUUGUAUUGACUUUAUCAGCUUUCUGCACUCUUUUCUUGCUUUUUUAAUGCACUUUUCGUUUAACAAGUCAACAUCAAUUUCUUUUGUUGUAAAAGGGUCAUUGGAAGGUGGCUUUCUCUCGGAGAAAGUGUUUAUAGCCUUUGACUCUGCAAUCGGAGAGACUGAGGUCUGCAGCGUAGAUCCUUCGGGGUUAGAUACAUUUGUGCUAAGCUAUAGCUUUCAUAGACAACUUGUUGACUAUGAUCAGUCUUGUAACUUACUCGCUUAUGCUAUUU
rnacentral:misc_RNA from 1 species